rnacentral:rRNA from 1 species
UACGUAGGUGGCAAGCGUUGUCCGGAAUUAUUGGGCGUAAAGCGCGCGCAGGCGGUCCUUUAAGUCUGAUGUGAAAGCCCACGGCUCAACCGUGGAGGGUCAUUGGAAACUGGGGGACUUGAGUGCAGGAGAGAAGAGUGGAAUUCCACGUGUAGCGGUGAAAUGCGUAGAGAUGUGGAGGAACACCAGUGGCGAAGGCGACGAUCUU